rnacentral:rRNA from 1 species
GAUCCUGGCUCAGGAUGAACGCUGGCGGCGUGCUUAACACAUGCAAGUCGAACGAAGCACUUUUACAGAUUUUUUCGGAAUGAAGUUUUUGUGACUGAGUGGCGGACGGGUGAGUAACGCGUGGGUAACCUGCCUCAUACAGGGGGAUAACAGUUAGAAAUGACUGCUAAUACCGCAUAAGACCACAGAGCUGCAUGGCUCGGUGGGAAAAACUCCGGUGGUAUGAGAUGGACCCGCGU